GAUGAACGCUGGCGGCGUGCUUAACACAUGCAAGUCGAACGGAAAGGCCCAAGCUUGCUUGGGUACUCGAGUGGCGAACGGGUGAGUAACACGUGGGUGAUCUGCCCUGCACUUCGGGAUAAGCCUGGGAAACUGGGUCUAAUACCGGAUAGGACCACCUUUUGGAUGGUGUGGUGGAAAGUUUUUCGGUGUGGGAUGAGCUCGCGGCCUAUCAGCUUGUUGGUGGGGUAAUGGCCUACCAAGGCGUCGACGGGUAGCCGGCCUGAGAGGGUGUACGGCCACAUUGGGACUGAGAUACGGCCCAGACUCCUACGGGAGGCAGCAGUGGGGAAUAUUGCACAAUGGGCGCAAGCCGGAUGCAGCGACGCCGCGUGGGGGAUGACGGCCUUCGGGUUGUAAACUCCUUUCGCUAGGGACGAAGCGUUAUGUGACGGUACCUGGAGAAGAAGCACCGGCUAACUACGUG
rnacentral:rRNA from 1 species